rnacentral:rRNA from 1 species
CCUACGGGUGACAGCAGUGAGGAAUAUUGGUCCAUGGGCUUACGCCUGCACCAGCCAAGUCGCGUGAGGGAAGACUGCCCUAUGGGUUGUAGACCUCUUUUGUCAGGGAGCAACGCCGGCUACGUGUAGCAGGACUUAGAGUACCUGAAGAAAACGCAUCGGCUAACUCCGUGCCCGCAGCCGCGGUAAUACGGAGGAUGCGAGCGUUAUCCGGAUUUAUUGGGUUUUAAGGGUUCGUAGGCGGAAUGCCAAGUCAGCGGUAAAAGCGCGGGGCUCAACCUCGCUCCGCCGUUGAUACUGGCGUUAGUGAGGGGGCGUGAAGUAGGCGGAAGUCGUGGAGUAGCGGUGAAAGGCAUAGAGAUCAGGAGGAACACCGGUGGCGAAGGCGGCCUGCUGGACGGCAACUGACGUGGAGGCCCGAAAGCGUGGGGAGCAAACAGGAUGAGAUACCCUUGUAGUC